rnacentral:rRNA from 1 species
ACUCCUACGGGAGGCAGCAGUGGGGAAUAUUGCACAAUGGGCGCAAGCCUGAUGCAGCCAUGCCGCGUGUGUGAAGAAGGCCUUCGGGUUGUAAAGCACUUUCAGUCGUGAGGAAGGYGGYGKNGUUAAUAGCASCAUCAUUUGACGUUAGCGACAGAAGAAGCACCGGCUAACUCCGUGCCAGCAGCCGCGGUAAUAC